GCGGCGAAAGAAUAGGCUUCUUCCUCUAUAAGACGAGCUGCGUCGGCGGCCUCUUCUUGGGGUACAGUGCCAUAGCGCUUGGAGAGAACAGAGGGGUUCGAGAGCGUCUCGAUCAGGCGUUUGAUGACAGCAUCACGAGUGCGUUGCGACGGGGGCCAAAUACUGAACGAGGUGUUAAAAGACUUGGGUGAUUUGGUUGACUCCUUAGCCUGAUCUCCACCUUGGGAAUCCACAGGAGGGGUGGGAGAAUCCUGUUCGGUGGGUGGCACGGCGGCGAUCUGAGGCUCAGACAUUUUGGGUGUUACUGCUCUG
rnacentral:misc_RNA from 1 species